GAUGAACGCUAGCUACAGGCUUAACACAUGCAAGUCGAGGGGCAGCAUGGUCUUAGCUUGCUAAGGCCGAUGGCGACCGGCGCACGGGUGAGUAACACGUAUCCAACCUGCCGUCUACUCUUGGACAGCCUUCUGAAAGGAAGAUUAAUACAAGAUGGCAUCAUGAGUCCGCAUGUUCACAUGAUUAAAGGUAUUCCGGUAGACGAUGGGGAUGCGUUCCAUUAGAUAGUAGGCGGGGUAACGGCCCACCUAGUCUUCGAUGGAUAGGGGUUCUGAGAGGAAGGUCCCCCACAUUGGAACUGAGACACGGUCCAAACUCCUACGGGAGGCAGCAGUGAGGAAUAUUGGUCAAUGGGCGAGAGCCUGAACCAGCCAAGUAGCGUGAAGGAUGACUGCCCUAUGGGUUGUAAACUUCUUUUAUAAAGGAAUAAAGUCGGGUAUGGAUACCCGUUUGCAUGUACUUUAUGAAAUAAGGAUCGGCUAACUCCGUGCCAGCA
rnacentral:rRNA from 1 species